rnacentral:rRNA from 1 species
AUUGAACGCUGGCGGCAUGCCUUACACAUGCAAGUCGAACGGCAGCACGGGAGCAAUCCUGGUGGCGAGUGGCGAACGGGUGAGUAAUAUAUCGGAACGUGCCCGGUCGUGGGGGAUAACGUAGCGAAAGCUACGCUAAUACCGCAUACGAUCUACGGAUGAAAGCGGGGGAUCGCAAGACCUCGCGCGAUUGGAGCGGCCGAUAUCAGAUUAGGUAGUUGGUGAGGUAAAGGCUCACCAAGCCGACGAUCUGUAGCUGGUCUGAGAGGACGACCAGCCACACUGGGACUGAGACACGGCCCAGACUCCUACGGAGGCAGCAGUGGGGAAUUUUGGACAAUGGGCGCAAGCCUGAUCCAGCAAUGCCGCGUGCAGGAUGAAGGCCUUCGGGUU